CUGCCCCUCUACUAUGCGCACGUGAGGCUUCACCUGGAGUACUGUGUCCAGAUGUGGUGUCUUCAGUAGAGGAGAGACAUGGACAUGUUGGAGCACAUCCAGAGGAAGGCCACAAAAAUGAUCUGAGGGAUGAAACACCUACCCUACAAGGACAGCCUGAGAAAGCUGGGGCUGUUCAGCCUGGAGAAGGUUGUGAGGUGACCUGCUGGUGGCCUUUCAGUAUCUAAUGGGGAGCAACAGGAAAAAAGGGGAUAGAUUCUUUAGCAUGGUCUGUGGUGAUAUAACAAAGGUAAAUGGUUUCAAGCUUAAAGAGGAAUCAAAAGAAAACAAGCUGUGGUAAAAAUGGAACGAGUAAAUCUCCAGGACCACUUCAUGCUGGAAGCAAAAGCACUGCAUUUUGUUGCGUUGAAUGCAGCAUGGUCACCAUGGCUCUGGACAACAUUCUGGCCUCUAACACUUCUGCAGAUAUCCAUAAGCUUAUGUCUCAGUCAAAGCAGUAUUUAGAUACGUGCUGGAUUUAAAUAUGGAAAUCAAAGCAAUAAAUUGACAUUUCAUUCA